CGGCAGAGCAGAGAGAACUCCCUGACGAUGUCCUUCACGCGACGCUUGUUGGUUUGCUCCCUUCGAAGAAAGGCACAUAUGAGACGUAUCACAGGACACGAUAAUACACCUGAAGGAUUCAGAAUACACGUGUCAGCAUUUGUCCAAUAGAUGGUGCACACCAGGGAGUGGUGAACAGACUUGACAGCAUUCCCAGGAUGUGGACAAUGGGCUGUUUGUUAGCAAUGGCAGGCUAUUAAGCAGAGACAAAGACACAGGAGCUAACGAUGCGACAGAUCCCAUGUGACGUUUCCAUGUCCCCGUCCUGCACCGCCGUCUUCAGCUGCUCAUGGAGACCCAGCACCAGAGGCAUCAUGCUCACCAAAGCGUCGACAUAUCUGCAGACACGUGAGUGUUAACCCCU